UACGAAGGGGGCUAGCGUUGCUCGGAAUCACUGGGCGUAAAGGGCGCGUAGGCGGGUUUUUAAGUCAGGGGUGAAAUCCUGGAGCUCAACUCCAGAACUGCCUUUGAUACUGAAGAUCUUGAGUCCGGGAGAGGUGAGUGGAACUGCGAGUGUAGAGGUGAAAUUCGUAGAUAUUCGCAAGAACACCAGUGGCGAAGGCGGCUCACUGGCCCGGUACUGACGCUGAGGCACGAAAGCGUGGGGAGCAAACAAG
rnacentral:rRNA from 1 species